ACUAUUUUGACAGAAAAAUGUGAUGAUUUUAGAAAUCAUGAAUGUAUAAUUAAUUUAUAUAUGUAGUA
rnacentral:tRNA from 1 species